GACGAACGCUGGCGGCGUGCCUAAUACAUGCAAGUCGAACGCAGUGGGGACGGGUGAGUAACACGUGGGUAACCUCCCAUCAGAGGGGAUAACACUUGGAAACAGGUGCUAAACCGAUACUGAUGGAUGAACCCGCGGUGCAUUAGCUAGUUGGUGAGGUAACGGCUCACCAAGGCCACGAUGCAUAGCCGUCUUGAGAUGGGGAUCAGCAACACGGGGACCGGGGCAGGGCCGAAACUCCUACGGGAAAGAUCAAUGAAGAAUCUUGGGCAAAGAUCGGAAAUCGGACGCAGCAACGUCGCGUAGGUGAAGAAGAUUUUGAUGUCGUAAAGCUCUGUUGUUAGGAGAGCGGGAUCUAACCAGAAAGGCACGGCUGACUACGUGCCAGCAGCCGUGAUAAUAC
rnacentral:rRNA from 1 species